CGCGCGCGCCCGCAGGCCGGCUGUCGGGCACGGCCCCUGGGCUGGAGGCACGUGCACCGCGUGCGGGGGGGGGGGGGGUCUGGCUUAUUCUGGGCUGUGGCAGUGGAGGUGUUUGGUCGCGGGGCGGGUGCUGCAUCUCCUCCUUCGCUGUCCCGGGGCGCGGGGUCCAGGUGAUCUCGCAUUUGUGAAGGCGGUGGCCGUUCUCUGACCCAGCAACCCUUGGCGGUAACCAGCUGCACCCGCCCCCCCCCGGUGUUCCCGCCAAAAGAACCAGUGAUGAAGUGACUGCGAUAGGAUCAGCUCUGACAGGAGAUACCAAAGAACCUGAAUUCAGAACUUGGCAAGGGUUAUGUAUUCUGUAUUCAAAGCAAUAGAUACAGCAAAACACCAAAACCAGGCACCGUAAAAUCCAGAGUGAAAGGACCUCCCCUACAACUAAUUUAACAAGAACUAAAUGAUGUCUCAAGUCUUAACUAUCCUAACUGGAUAAUAAAACUGUCGUCCCAAUCCUGCAAACCUUCUACAUGUGGAAUUCUCACUGAUGUCUAUGGAAGUUCUGCAUGUGGAGAGCUUACAGAAUCAUGCCAUAAUGUGGUAUCCUUUCCUCUGAUUUGAUUUAGAUUAAAAGUUGAUGUAAAUUACACUUAAG